AUUGAACGCUGGCGGCAUGCCUUACACAUGCAAGUCGAACGGUAACGGGCCUUCGGGCGCCGACGAGUGGCGAACGGGUGAGUAAUGCAUCGGAACGUACCUUCAGUGGGGGAUAACGUAGCGAAAGUUACGCUAAUACCGCAUAUUCUGUGAGCAGGAAAGCAGGGGAUCGCAAGACCUUGCGCUGAUUGAGCGGCCGAUGUCAGAUUAGCUAGUUGGUGAGGUAAAGGCUCACCAAGGCGACGAUCGGUAGCUGGUCUGAGAGGAUGAUCAGCCACACUGGGACUGAGACACGGCCCAGACUCCUACGGGAGGCAGCAGUGGGGAAUUUUGGACAAUGGGGGCAACCCUGAUCCAGCCAUGCCGCGUGCGGGAAGAAGGCCUUCGGGUUGUAAACCGCUUUUGUUCGGGAAGAAAAGGCACGUCCUAAUACGGCGUGUUCUUGACGGUACCGGAAGAAUAAGCACCGGCUAACUACGUG
rnacentral:rRNA from 1 species